GGACCACCCGGUCAUUCACGGGUCGAGGCCAUACGGACAGCCGGGUCCACUGCCGA
rnacentral:sRNA from 12 species